rnacentral:tRNA from 1 species
CGGGAUAGCUCAGCUGGAAAAGCAAAGGACUGAAA